AUUGAAUGCUGACGGCGUGGAUGAGGCAUGCGAGUCGAACGAAGUAGCAGGGCAACUUGUUACUUAGUGGCGGAAGGGUUAGUAAUACUUGGGUAACGUACCUCUUACUCGGGAAUAACGGUUGGAAACGGCCGCUAAUACCUGAUGAGGUGGCGCGGGGGAUCUCGCGUUUAUCAAAGUGGGGGACCAUGAAAGUGGCCUUGCGGUAAGAGAGUGGCCCAUGGGAUAUCAGCUUGUUGGUGUGGUAAUGGCGCACCAAGGCUAAGACGUCUAGGCGGAUUGAGAGAUUGACCGCCAACAUUGGGACUGAGAUACUGCCCAGACUCCUACGGGAGGCUGCAGUCGAGGAUCAUUCGCAAUGGGCGAAAGCCUGACGAUGCGACGCCGUGUGAACGAUGAAGGCCUUCGGGUUGUAAAGUUCUUUCGCUUGGGAACAAGAAAAGCUAUUUAAUAAAUGGCUAAUUUGAGGGUACUAGGUAAAGAAGCACCGGCUAACUCCGUGCCAGCAGCCGCCGCGG
rnacentral:rRNA from 1 species